UAAAACAGCGGUUCCCGUACGAUCGCCGAAGUUAAGCAACAUCGAGUUUGGUUAAUACUUAAAUAGGUGACCGCUUGGGUUUAACAGGUGCUGUAAG